UGGGGAAUAUUGGACAAUGGGCGAAAGCCUGAUCCAGCCAUGCCGCGUGUGUGAAGAAGGUCUUCGGAUUGUAAAGCACUUUAAGUUGGGAGGAAGGGCAUUAACCUAAUACGUUAGUGUUUUGACGUUACCGACAGAAUAAGCACCGGCUAACUCUGUGCCAGCAGCCGCGGUAAUACAGAGGGUGCAAGCGUUAAUCGGAAUUACUGGGCGUAAAGCGCGCGUAGGUGGGUUGUUAAGUUGGAUGUGAAAUCCCCGGGCUCAACCUGGUAACUGCAUUCAAAACUGACUGGCUAGAGUAUGGUAGAGGGUGGUGGAAUUUCCUGUGUAGCGGUGAAAUGCGUAGAUAUAGGAAGGAACACCAGGGGCGAAGGCGACCACCUGGACUAAUACUGACACUGAGGUGCGAAAGCGUGGGGAGCAAACA
rnacentral:rRNA from 1 species